rnacentral:rRNA from 1 species
GAUGAACGCUGGCGUCGUGCCUAAUACAUUCAAGUCGAGCUAACGUACUAGAAGCUUUCUUCUCUGAUGUUAGCGGCGUAUGGGUGAGUAACACGUGGAUAACCUACCUAUAAGACUUGGAUAACUUCGGGAAACCGGAGCUAAUACCGGGUAAUAUUUUGAACCGCAUGGUUCAAAAGUGAAAGACGGUCUUGCUGUCACUUAUAGAUUGAUCCGCUCUGCAUUAGAUAGUUGGUAAGGUAACGGCUUACCAAGGCAACGAUGCAUAGCCGACCUGGGAGGUUGAUGGCCACACUGGAAGUGAGACAGAGUCCAGACACCGACGGGAGGCAGCGGUAGGGAAUCUUCCGCAAUGGGCGAAAGCCUGACGGAGCAACGCCGCGUGAGUAAUGAAGGUAUUCGGAUCGUAAAACUCUGUUGUUAGGGAAGAACAUAUGUGUAAGUAACUGUGCACAUCUUGACGGUACCUAAUCAGAAAGCCACGGCUAACUACGUG